AGUGAACGCUGGCGGUAGGCCUAACACAUGCAAGUCGAACGGCAGCACAGUAAGAGCUUGCUCUUAUGGGUGGCGAGUGGCGGACGGGUGAGGAAUACAUCGGAAUCUACCUUUUCGUGGGGGAUAACGUAGGGAAACUUACGCUAAUACCGCAUACGACCUUCGGGUGAAAGCAGGGGACCUUCGGGCCUUGCGCGGAUAGAUGAGCCGAUGUCGGAUUAGCUAGUUGGCGGGGUAAAGGCCCACCAAGGCGACGAUCCGUAGCUGGUCUGAGAGGAUGAUCAGCCACACUGGAACUGAGACACGGUCCAGACUCCUACGGGAGGCAGCAGUGGGGAAUAUUGGACAAUGGGCGCAAGCCUGAUCCAGCCAUACCGCGUGGGUGAAGAAGGCCUUCGGGUUGUAAAGCCCUUUUGUUGGGAAAGAAAAGCAGUCGAUUAAUACUCGGUUGUUCUGACGGUACCCAAAGAAUAAGCACCGGCUAACUUC
rnacentral:rRNA from 1 species